rnacentral:rRNA from 1 species
UACAGAGGGUGCUAGCGUUGUUCGGAAUCAUUGGGCGUAAAGGGCGCGUAGGCGGUCCUGAUCGUCGGAUGUGAAAGGCCUGGGCUCAACCUGGGAACUGCAUCCGAUACGGCGGGACUGGAGUGUGGGAGAGGUUGGUGGAAUUCCCAGUGUAGAGGUGAAAUGCGCAGAUAUCUGGAGGAACACCGGAGGCGAAAGCGGCCCACUGGACCACUCUGACGCUGAGGUGCGAAAGCUAGGGUAGCAAACGGGG